rnacentral:lncRNA from 1 species
GAAUUUGCAGACCAAAAUUCUGUACCAAGGGCCCUUGCUUUUAAUGGAGUUAUGUUUGGAGACAGGCCGCUGAAAAUAAAUCACUCCAACAAUGCAAUAGUAAAACCUCCUGAGAUGACACCUCAGGCUGCAGCUAAGGAGUUAGAAGAAGUAAUGAAGCGAGUGCGGGAGGCUCAGUCAUUUAUCUCAGCAGCCAUUGAACCAGGUAAGGCCACAGUGUUGUUGUAUAGGACAUAGUCUAAAG